rnacentral:rRNA from 1 species
GAUGAACGCUGGCGGCGUGCUUAACACAUGCAAGUCGAACGAUGAAGCCCAGCUUGCUGGGUGGAUUGGUGGCGAACGGGUGAGUAACACGUGAGUAACCUGCCCUUAACUCUGGGAUAAGCCUGGGAAACUGGGUCUAAUACCGGAUAGGAGCGUCCACCGCAUGGUGGGUGUUGGAAAGAUUUAUCGGUUUUGGAUGGACUCGCGGCCUAUCAGCUUGUUGGUGAGGUAAUGGCUCACCAAGGCGACGACGGGUAGCCGGCCUGAGAGGGUGACCGGCCACACUGGGACUGAGACACGGCCCAGACUCCUACGGGGGGCAGCAGUGGGGAAUAUUGCACAAUGGGCGCAAGCCUGAUGCAGCGACGCCGCGUGAGGGAUGACGGCCUUCGGGUUGUAAACCUCUUUCAGUAGGGAAGAAGCGAAAGUGACGGUACCUGCAGAAGAAGCACCGGCUAACUACGUG